rnacentral:rRNA from 1 species
UACGUAGGGGGCAAGCGUUGUCCGGAUUUAUUGGGCGUAAAGAGCGUGUAGGCGGCCGCACAGGUCCGUUGUGAAAACUGGAGGCUUAACCUUCAGACGUCGAUGGAAACCGUGCGGCUAGAGUCCGGAAGAGGAGAGUGGAAUUCCUGGUGUAGCGGUGAAAUGCGCAGAUAUCAGGAGGAACACCGAUGGCGAAGGCAGGUCUCUGGGCCGAUACUGACGCUGAGGAGCGAAAGCGUGGGGAGCGAACAGG